AGCAGCUUCCCAGUCCAGAAUUUAAAAACACUCCUGAGAUAGCUUUUCACAGCAAAUCAAAAACUAAAUACACCAAGAAAGCUGUAUCUACAUACUGUUUACUCCCAAAAGCAGCCUGAGCUACAACAGCAAGUGAGCAUAGCACAGUCCUGAGAACACAGAGUGGGCACAGUUUCGAAAAGAGAAGGAAUCCCUGAGAUGAUGAGGAGGGCCGGAGUCAUCCCCGAGGAAGUCACCACAGCCCUGAGGAAUUUGCUGUGGUCACCAGCAGAGCACACUGCCACACCACACCACAGCCUUGCCCUCAUUUUCCAUAGGUUCCAGGCACUUCACAAUGGUGACAUUUGCUGGGCUUGAAUAAAGGGCUCUCAGAGAGCAAGAUGAUAACAUGGAGCACAGCUAGUCUGCCAGGGCACAGAGCCCAAGGAAUGCUCCUUGGGAGGGACCCACAGCCUCCAGUGACCGAGAGAAUUAAAAAAAAAAACCCACAGCAG